GCGGAGGAAAAGAAACCAACAGGGAUUGCCUUAGUAACGGCGAGUGAAGCGGCAACAGCUCAAAUUUGAAAUCUGGCUUCGGCCCGAGUUGUAAUUUGCAGAGGAUGUUUAUGGUGCGGUACCUUCCGAGUUCCCUGGAACGGGACGCCACAGAGGGUGAGAGCCCCGUCUGGUUGGAUACCAAACCUGUGUUAAACUCCUUCAACGAGUCGAGUAGUUUGGGAAUGCUGCUCUAAAUGGGAGGUAAAUCUCUUCUAAAGCUAAAUACUGGCCAGAGACCGAUAGCGCACAAGUAGAGUGAUCGAAAGAUGAAAAGCACCUUGAAAAGGGGGUUAAACAGUACGUGAAAUUGUUGAAAGGGAAGCGUUUAUGACCAGACUUGUGCCGUGUGGCUCAUCCGAGGUUCUCCCCGGUGCACUCCACGCGGCUCAGGCCAACAUCGGUUUUCGUUGGGGGAGAAGAACAGUGGGAACGUAGCUCCUCUCGGGGAGUGUUAUAGCCCAUUGUACGAUACCCUGGCGGGGACCGAGGACCGCGCUUCGGCUAGGAUGUUGGCGUAAUGGUCAUUAGCGACCCGUCUUGAAACACGGACCAAGGAGUCGUCCAUUAGAGCGAGCGUUUGGGUGUAAAACCCGCACGCGUAAUGAAAGUGAAAUUAGGUGAGAGCUUCGGCGCAUCAUCGACCGAUCCUGAAGUUUACGGAUGGAUUUGAGUAAGAGUUUUAACGGACGGACCCGAAAGACAGUGAACUAUGCUUGAAUAGGGUGAAGCCAGAGGAAACUCUGGUGGAGGCUCGCAGCGGUUCUGACGUGCAAAUCGAUCGUCAAAUUUGAGCAUGGGGGCGAAAGACUAAUCGAACUGUCUAGUAGCUGG
rnacentral:rRNA from 1 species